AGGACGAACGCUGGCGGCGUGCUUAACACAUGCAAGUCGAGCGGUAAGGCUCCUUCGGGAGUACACGAGCGGCGAACGGGUGAGUAACACGUGAGCAAUCUGCCCUUCACUUUGGGAUAACUUCCGGAAACGGAAGCUAAUACCGAAUACGACCAUCACAGACAUCUAUUGAUGGUGGAAAGUUCCGGCGGUGAAGGAUGAGCUCGCGGCCUAUCAGCUUGUUGGUGAGGUAACGGCCCACCAAGGCGACGACGGGUAGCCGGCCUGAGAGGGUGACCGGCCACACUGGGAUUGAGACACGGCCCAGACUCCUACGGGAGGCAGCAGUGGGGAAUAUUGGACAAUGGGCGAAAGCCUGAUCCAGCAACGCCGCGUGAGGGAUGACGGCCUUCGGGUUGUAAACCUCUUUCAGCAGGGACGAAGCGAAAGUGACGGUACCUGCAGAAGAAGCACCGGCCAACUACGUGCCAGCAGCCGC
rnacentral:rRNA from 1 species